rnacentral:lncRNA from 1 species
AGCGACAGACUCGGGGUGCUGGCAGCGGCAGCCCACGCCUCCCAGGGAUUGCAGGCCUGGGCGCCGGGGUUGGACCAGUCUCCCGGGCAUGGCACGCCCUGGUUAUUCUGUACCCGUGAUUUGUGGCGGGGCAAGACGUUAAGUUGGGUGACACCGAGGUCUCAGUGCUGUGUGUGUAAUGGUUACCGUGAGAGCUUCCCUGCAAUCCGAAUUUGUGUGUCUCAUUCUCAGUGACACCAGUGAUGCUGUUAAACAAGGACAAUCCGGUUCAUGGAUUGUGACAACGCACGCUGACAUCAAGCAGACCCUGCCGUCAGGUACAGAGGGCACCACAGUGACCAGGAACUGCUGUCCUUUCAUACCAGGUUUUAGGAGGCUUUACCAGAAGGAAUGGAAAAUGCUGGUGGGCAGUAAGAUUGAAACAGCAUCUGAGGACUGGUUCUGCACAAAACCUUAAAUUCUUCAAGGACUUUGACAUUUGUUUAUUCUUGUAACAAAUUAAAACCUAUCCUGUGUGUUGGUUAGAGAUCUUCAAACUGUAAAUACCUUGAGGCAGGAGUGAGGUUUUUAUCUUUUAAAGGACAGGCCCCUACUCUCCUACGUAAUGAGUUUCUAAAAAUGGAUGUGAGCACCAAUCAAUAUUUCUCUGGUUGUUAAAGUCAAGAAUAAAAUGGUAUUUUUAAGCUCG